CCUACGGGAGGCAGCAGUGAGGAAUAUUGGUCAAUGGACGCAAGUCUGAACCAGCCAUGCCGCGUGCAGGAAGACGGCUCUAUGAGUUGUAAACUGCUUUUGUACGAGGGUAAAUCCCGAUACGUGUAUCGGGUUGAAAGUAUCGUACGAAUAAGGAACGGCUAACUCCGUGCCAGCAGCCGCGGUAAUCCGGAGGAUUCAAGGGUUAUCCGGAUUUAUUGGGUGUAAAGGGGGCGUAGGCGGUUUGAUAAGUUAGAGGUGAAAUCCCGGGGCUCAACGCCCGCACUGCCGGUGAUACUGACGGGCUAGAGUAUAGUUGCGGUAGGCGGAAUGUGUGGUGUAGCGGUGAAAUGCAUAGAGAUCAUACAGAACUCCGAUUGCGAAGGCAGCUUACCAAACUACGACUGACGUUGAGGCACGAAAGCGUGGGGAGCAAACAGGAUUAGAUACCCCAGUAGUC
rnacentral:rRNA from 1 species